CAAUUCUGACCCUUAACUGGCGGAAAGUCGACAGCUACUAUGGCUAUCUUAAUGUAGGCGCAGGAAUCUUAGUCCUCCAAGCAUAGGCCUUCUAUUAGCGCUGUUGAGUCUCCAAGUGGUCUUUCUAUAAAGCGGAAGGACAAGUGUGUCCAAGACUUGGUUGUGAUCCCAGGUACCAAUGCCUUUAACCCUUUUCCUUACCCUUAUAGGGUUAAGACUUAUAACCAGCUGUCUAACAAUUCUGAAGCCAGCCUGUCUAUUGGCCAGAUCUAUGCUAACCUCUCACCAAAUAAUGCAUGUGCAUAUGCCCUUUAAACGCUGAAUGCAUAGCAACUGGCCAAGAAUAUGCUUAGGGUCGUCUCUACUGAGCAGCGAGAAUCCGUUAAGGGAGUCGGAACCCUAAACUUCGACGCCAUACUGCUACUCCUGGCUGAGUUAACCUUCUUUAAAGUUAGAAUAUUUUAUCAAGUCUUUGCUUAACCGACUGCAUAUUAAAAGUCUUAUAUUUUGGCCGAAUGUAGGCCAUGCUGAGAAUGAAUGGGCUUGAAAAGCCAUUCAACGAUAAAUAGAAAGAGGUAAGGGAUACCAACCAAAGGGUUGCUUCCAAUCUUAACCAGGCGAUGUUUGAUGUAAAUAAAACUGAGGCACAAACUCAAGAUAUCCAGUACUCGCAUGCGACUGCAAAUUUGCAAGUAAAAAAUGAUUUGGAGGUGGCCUAGAAGAGGGUAACUAAGAUCAAGGAGCAGCUGAAGAUGGCCAAGAUUGAGCUUAAGGAGGAGCUGAAGACAGCCAGGAUUGAUCUUGGCAAGCUGCAAGACGUUAGCAAGGACACAAUCAGUCUCCGCCGCUAGAACGAGAAUUUUAAAAAAUGGCUUGUCAACAAGGAGGAGCAGCUCAGGUCCAAGUUUGCUGCCCGUGCUGAAGAAUAGAAGCGGCUACUCAUCGAAGAGAAUGAAACCGACUGCAUGCAUCACCCGAAUGAAGAUGGCGUGGAAGGCUCUAUUUCCCAAGGACGAUUACUUCAUCUGGGAGUAUCACUUUGAGGAAGCCACUGAUUCCCUGGAUGAGGAGCGGCAGUAGGCGGAGCAAGAGGCUGAGGGCGAAAGAAUGGAGGUCUUGGAUGACGAUGAAGGGAAUAAGGACAACUAGCUCAACGAGAAUCAUCCAGCCAAUGAAGGAGAAAUGGCGGAGAAUGAAGUGGAGUCCUCCCCCAAAGCUGAUUAGUUUAAGUUUCUACGGCCAAAUGGCCUUUCAAAUACAUUUUUGGCCUGCGUGCCGAGUAUCAUUGUUCUUUCACUUGUAGAAAAUAACAAAUUAGCACCGAGUAAUGCCCACCGGUUUUUGAAAAAAAAAUGGGCGGGACUUAGUUUAAUAGAAAGGCCACCGGUUCAAACCCAACCGGUGGCAUUAAAAAACCGGCCUUUUAUUUCCCUAUGCGGCUUUUCACCUUAUUCAUUCUCUUUCCCUUUCUUUUUUCAUUUUCUUUCUCUCUCCUCAUACGUCUCCCUGUCUCCUCAACCAAACCCUAAGGCUCUUUCUUCUCCUCGCCAUUCCCUUCUUCUCCCUCGAACUCCCUUCUCUCUCCAUUGAAGCCUAGAUCCGUUCUCUCUCAAUUAUUCAUGUUAAAUUGCCUUUGUUCGUCAAUAAUCGGAAAUCUGAGUGCGGACAAUGAUGGAACUUAUGGUGAUUCAGAUGCCCCCAAGGAGAACAACUCGAAAAAGAGGAGAAGAUCUGAAUCAUGUGCACCAUCUAGCUCCAAAGCUUGCUGAUAGAAGGCACGUAGAGACUGACUUAAUGACAAGAUCGUGUACGAAGGUCCGAGGUUCGAGUCAAAUGUGCAAUGCCCCUCGCUCCACAUAAUUGCUACUCAUCUUGCUGCACCUUGCCCUUCCUAUCCUCCACCCCACCAUAUCCUAUCCUACACCACACUUCUCCCCAGCUCCUGCAACCUGCAACAUCCAACAGCCCCUGCUUCGCCAUUCACUAAUUAACCAUUGCUGCUCCCUCUCCUUCACUCAUGCAUCAACCAACACCAACACCACCAAUCAGAAUUCAAAACUCCCCUGCUCCCUCGACCUUUCACACAUGCCUUCACCAACAACAGUAACUCAAUCUUCAGCUACCUAAACCAGCCCACAUCAAUCUCUGUCGUAAGCCAAACAACAGGAGCAUCCCCUACUGCCCUUAAUCAUCUCUCACAUCACCUUACCUCCUUCCACCACAAUCAGCCACAAACACACAUCACCACCGGCACCCACAAACCACAAACCAGCAGCAGCGCCACCUACAACCAAUUCAUAAACCACCAAAACUCACACCAAUUAACCUCCUCCGUCCACCCUUCGCGCACAGCAACACCAGCCACAAAACCAGAGCAGCCCGCGCCAGCUCACCUUCUCACCCUCAAUAUCCAGCCACCGCGCAACCCACAACAACAACCCCUGCACCACCGUCCACCAGAACCCACAUCAAUCAACCAAUUCCCCUGUUCCAAUUCGAACAGUAGCACCUAGCAGCCGCACCACCAUUCCCAAUCACAAGCACCCAACAUCAAUUACAGCAGCAACAAUUACGCCACAACAAAUCACCAAUUUGCACAAGCAACGGCCAUAAUUAGAGCAAUCGCAAAUUAAUCAAGUUCGAACAAACCGUUGAGGGUUCGGUCGAAAUGAAAAAAAAGUACCAAAAUAGUCGGGAACUUUUGAGGUUUUGUAAUUUGAACAGGUGUGGUCGAACUCACCCAUGGUUCGACCGAACCAACCCCGUAGUUCGGCCACACCAACCCAAGGUUCGACCGAACCAAUUCACGAGCUUCGCGCAUGGUUUUUAAUAAAGAUCGAAUGGCCUUGAUUUGAUGAUCGAUUAUAGCCGUUGAGGAUGAACGGUGGUGAUUCUUUGAUGAAGCUUGAUGAUGGAUUUUGAUGGGUGUGAAGUAGGGGAUUAUUCCACCAUUUUUUAGCAGCCAUCUUCGAAUUAGAAGAGGAAAAGAGGGUCUGGUUGUUUGGUGGGAUGGGUGGGUUUUUGUUAUUUUCUUUUCCUUUUAUUUUUAAUUACUUUUUUUCCCUUUUUCUUUUACACUAGUAGAAAAAUGCUUAUUUGCGUCGCCUUAUUUGCGUCACUCAUAUAAACAAACGACGCAAAUGAGAUAUUUUGACUUCAUUAUAACUAAUUUGCGUCAGACAUUUGUUAUAAAGCGAAGCAAAAGUCAGAUAUAUUUCAACUUACUUGUAUUUGCGUCGCUUCUAUAAAUAGGAGUGAUGCAAAUAACAAUAUUAUAUAUAACUUUGUAAGUCAAUUGCGUCAUUUGUUUCUUUAGCGAGUGAAGCAAAUGACCAUUAUGGUUUAUAUGUACUCUAGCUGCCUUCUGCCGUUCGAACAUCAAAACUCCAAACCCCAGAAAAUUCAACCCCAAAAUUCCCUGAAAUUCAACAUCAAAACCCCAAAAAAUUGAUCAGUAAAACCCCAGAAUUCCCCAUUGUUGCUUUUGCUGUUGUUGAACCCCCAAAACAUCAGCGAAUAAACAUUAAUUGAAAAUCCCAGCAAAUGUGAGGCAAAAUCGAAAAUCCCAUAACCUACAAAUUCAACCAUAAUCGAAAAUCCCAGCAAAUGUGAGGCAAAAUCCCUUAUAUACGAGCAAAUCCGAGCCAAAAAUCCCCUAUUUUUGACCAAAAUUCUACCCAAAACCAAACAUAAUUGUGAGAAAAUUGAAGUUUCAGUUUCGAAUUUAGGGUUCAUUUUUUGGUUCUACGAUUGCAAUAGAUGUUACACACAGAUCUAAGCAAAGAGGUUUGAUUUUCAUUCAAUUUAGUAGCAAUUUGUUACGAUUCUCUUAAUGUUAGGGUUCGUACUCAAUAAUAUGGAAUUUUGGAUCUAUUGUUGCUGAAGUUACAAAAUCGAUUUUAUGAAAGGUUGAUUUUCCCCCUGCUACUACUAAGAGAAGCUCUUUCCCAUUUUUUUUAGCCUAAAAAUGUUCCAUGAUAUACUUAGCCGUGAAUACAUAAACUAUGAUAUAGUGUUUGUAUUGAAAUAAUUUUACCAGGCCGUUUUGUUAAAAAUAAACGACCACUCUUAGCCCUGCCUUACACCCCUCAAGAAUAUGAGCAUCCGAGUUUACUUUAACACACCCAAGGCACGGUUUCUUCCAGCUUGUAGCAGCAUCAUUCUGUCUCAUAACAGAGGGGGGCAGCAAAACCUUUUUAGCAUAUUCAUUGUAAUCAUGAACUAGCCUUGCAAACCCUGCAGCCAGUAGCACACUAUUCGGAUUCUCACCUUGAAAUGCAACUGGUGGCAAGGUUUACUAUUCUCAACAAACUCUCCAAUAUAGGGAUCAAAGCUUAUGUUUAUUGAACCUUUCUUUUUAAUGUAAUCAAGUUUCAUGAUCAUAUUUUCAUUCUAUUUCCCUGUAAUGUUUCCACAAAUAAAUUAUAUGCUGACGUUUUCUUAUUGCUUGAUGUAUAAGCAAAGCAUGGUAUCAUAAAUCUUCUCAUAAACCGAUGCACUGACUCAGACAAGAAUACUAAGAAAUUUGCCUGUUUUGCUGUAAGAUUUGUCACUUCAAUAUCCAUGAUCAUGCAUAUUGCACUUGUACAGUUUUUAUUUUGCUGGAAAAUAAACUUCAUUCUAUUUUGAUGUACAAUUAUUUUCUUUAGUUUCACUGAAUUUUCUAAUAUUAUCAUUCUUGUAUAUUCUUGUUUCUCUUUCUCACAUCUCAUCUCGCAGAUAGGAAAUGCAGCCUUCCAUAAUGAUUCAUUAUACGAAGAACUUAGGAGCUCAAUCUCUCAACUGACAAAUCUGCUGUUGCUACCUAAGGAGGAUAUCACAAAAUUAAAUGCUGCAGGUGCACUGGGUAAUCUUGUUCGUCACUCUAACCUCCUCUGUGAAGAUAUUGUGUCUCAUGGUGCAAUUCAGGAAUUGGUGACUUUAAACUAUUUGCAAGAGAAAAAGGAAGUGGACUUCCAUUAUGGACUUGUUCGUGUUAGGGAAAAUGAAGAUUUUGUCCCUAAAUUGAAUUAUGCUGGCUUCAAAUUCCAUAUUAUUUAUUGAAUUAUUUUGUUAUAGUUCUUAGGCUUGAAAUGAACGCAUUUGGUUUACCAACAUUUGGGUUGGUCUGGUGCUUGUGUUAUAUUUAUUAAUGAUGAAGAUGUCAAUAUUGUUUUGUUGUAAACUUAUUUGACAGGUUGCUAAUACAAGGCGCCGUCAUUCCCAAAUUAAUGGGUAGGCUAAAAUACAAAGGAAAUUCUGUCGAAA